GAUGAACGCUGGCGGUAUGCUUAACACAUGCAAGUCGAACGGACUCUUCGGAGUUAGUGGCGGACGGGUGAGUAACGCGUGAGAAUCUGGCUUUGGGUUCGGGACAACCACUGGAAACGGUGGCUAAUACCGGAUGUGCCGAGAGGUAAAAGAGAAAUUGCCUGAAGAUGAGCUCGCGUCUGAUUAGCUAGUUGGUGAGGUAAAGGCUCACCAAGGCAGCGAUCAGUAGCUGGUCUGAGAGGAUGACCUGCCACACUGGGACUGAGACACGGCCCAGACUCCUACGGGAGGCAGCAGUGGGGAAUUUUCCGCAAUGGGCGAAAGCCUGACGGAGCAAUACCGCGUGAGGGAAGAAGGCUCUUGGGUUGUAAACCUCUUUUCUUAGGGAAGAACAAAAUGACGGUACCUAAGGAAUCAGCAUCGGCUAACUCCGUG
rnacentral:rRNA from 1 species